rnacentral:tRNA from 2 species
GCGCCUGUAGCUCAACUGGAUAGAGCAACGGACUUCUAAUCCGUAGGUUGCAGGUUCGAGUCCUGCCAGGCGCG